UCCAAAGGCUUUUUGUUUUUGGUGAGAGUGGCGAACGGGUGAGUAACACGUGAGUAACCUGCCCCCUUCUUUUGGAUAACCGCAUGAAAGUGUGGCUAAUACAGGAUAAUCCGCUUUGGUCGCAUGGCUUUGGUGGGAAAUGCUUUGUUGUGGUGGGGGAUGGGCUCGCGGCCUAUCAGCUUGUUGGUGGGGUGAUGGCCUACCAAGGCGGUGACGGGUAGCCGGCCUGAGAGGGUGGGCGGUCACACUGGGACUGAGAUACGGCCCAGACUCCUACGGGAGGCAGCAGUGGGGGAUUUUGCACAAUGGGCGCAAGCCUGAUGCAGCGACGCCGCGUGAGGGAUGAAGGCCUUCGGGUUGUAAACCUCUUUCGCUGGGUUGAAAGGCCAUGCUUUGGGUGUGGUUGAUUUGAACUGGUAAAGAAGUACCGGCUAACUACGU
rnacentral:rRNA from 1 species